UACGAAGGGGGCUAGCGUUGCUCGGAAUUACUGGGCGUAAAGGGCGCGUAGGCGGAUAUUUAAGUUGGGGGUGAAAUCCCGGGGCUCAACCUCGGAAUUGCCUUCAAAACUGGAUAUCUUGAGUUCGGGAGAGGUGAGUGGAACUCCGAGUGUAGAGGUGAAAUUCGUAGAUAUUCGGAAGAGCACCAGUGGCGAAGGCGACUCACUGGCCCGAUACUGACGCUGAGGCGCGAAAGCGUGGGGAGCAAACAGG
rnacentral:rRNA from 1 species